UCUUAUGGUGUAAUGGUUAGCACUCUGGAUUCUGAAUCCAACGAUCCAGAUUCAAAUCCCGGUAGGA
rnacentral:tRNA from 1 species